AUCCCUGCCCUUUCUGCGAGCCACUUACAGUCAUUUUCCAGGAAUGCUGGUGAUCCGCAGCUGGUUGACUGGCUAAGAGAACAUGGAGCAGAUGAUUAUACAAUAGACAGGUUUCUUGCAGAGGAUUACAGACUUUGUGAUAUUCACUACUACGUAACACGUGAAGACUUGAAGUGCUUACGACUGAGAGGAGGGGUAAUUUGCAAGCUGUGGAAGGCCAUUACAGAGUAUAGAAAGAAGCACUCUUGCUGAUGGCAUGGCACCACUCUGUCAGGAGUUUUCUGUGCAAGACAUGAGACAAGAAUUGCACAGAUGUGGUAUUCUCUUAGAGAGACAGCUGCACUUUAUUUUCUGUAUUUAUUAAAUGCACACACAGUCCCGUCUCCAUACACUGCUCGGAUGUUUUGUUCUUGUACCUGAGAAAAAAAUGCUUUAUGAAAAAAAAAAAAAAAAGGUAAAACUGGUAUUUAAAAGUACAAAGGAGGUUCACUGAGCAUAGAAAUGCCCACAGGCUUCAGUACUAUAGUUUAUCAUCAUCUAGACUUUUAGAAAUAAUGGCUGUUUCUACAUUAUUUUAUUUCAUUGUAUUUUACCAGAUGAAUUCCAAACUGACCUGUUUUAGCUUGUUCUAAGAAAAAAAGGAAGAGCAACCAACAGUGACAGAGUUUUACCCAGACACUUCUGUGGACACAGAUGACGGAAACACAUGACAGAGUGGUAAUCAAGUAUUUAGUAUUCAGUGCUGUAAACCCAACUGGCAUAGAGAGGCACAUAACACAAUGUAGCUCCAGUAGAUAAAGCCAUGUAUAAUACACGCCAACCCUGCAGGAUGAGAGAGAGGCACAUCACUUCACAUAUUAUUUAAUGUGACACAAACAUUCAUGACAUGCAGGCUAAGAGAUAUGUAAGACUGGGCUGUGCAUCAGGGUACAGUAAUGUGCAAAGCGGUAUGUUUAUUCUGGUCCUAUUUCCACAUAAAUGUACUGUCACAAAGUCCACAAUAACAUCCAAUAGACCCCACAAUGGCUGCAUCUGUAGAUAUAAAAUUUGCUGUAAGCUUCCACAUAGGUAAAAUCUGUAGAAAAUUUAUUUGGUGAGUGCUUUCGUGGCAUAGAUACACCACUUCAUCAGACCUGUUACUAAUAAAACAUCUAGCACUUAUAUAUCCACGUUAGUUAAAAAAACAACCAAUCAUCAGUCAGCAAUUAUUAACUUGAAUGCACCUUCCUUCAAGGCUAAUACAUCAUUACUAAGAGCUAACAAUUUAAAAAUAUAUGCUAUACAUCCUUGUCAGUUAAAAGACAUUCUAUAAAAAUAUAUAUAUAUCAAAAAUACAUACAUUACAAUAUACCACUAAAUAAAUUUUCUACAGAUACAGCCAUUGUGGGGUCUGUUGGAUGUUAUUGUGGAAAUUGUAUCUUUCUUUUUUAUUCAAGGACCCUGUUCUACUGCUAACGACUUGCCUUGUGUUUGGAUAUUUGUACUGUCACAAAGAUCAAGAACUACCUUUAAAAUGUGCCAGUGCAACCUAAGAUGUCAUUUAAAAGGACAAACAGCAUCCAGUUUUGCCAAUAUUAUUUCUUUGACGUGUAAAUGAAGAACUUGCUACCUGUGGCAUUUCAGAAAGGAAAUGUGUAAGGCUUGCCAUCUCAGUUUCAGAAUGUGUUGAAUUUUUUGUUUUAAAAGGUAUCGAAUUAAAUAAAUUAUGUAGGAGACAUGAACAUUUUAAGCCACUGCAGGGCAAUUUUAAGUUGUGAAAAUUGUAAAGAAAAAAACACGAGGCAUACUGACAAUUGCCUCAGUCCUGUAGCAUAUUAUUUAGUUGCUUGAUAAAGGUUCCUUUUGGGUCACAAUUUGGAUUUCAUAGUUUCUAUAAUUUAAUCAUGAGACAAAAUAACACAGGUAUGCACCAAAUAUUUGACACAGUAAAGUGUCAUUUUUAAUAUAUUUAGUACAUAACAGUAGAUGUUCUUCAUCUCACAUUGCUGCAGUCCUUAC